rnacentral:rRNA from 1 species
UACAGAGGGGGCAAGCGUUGUUCGGAAUUACUGGGCGUAAAGAGCGUGUAGGCGGCUCGAUAAGUCUGCUGUGAAAGUCCAGGGCUCAACCCUGGAAGGCCGGUGGAAACUGUCGGGCUAGAGUCCGGAAGAGGCGAGUGGAAUUCCCGGUGUAGCGGUGAAAUGCGCAGAUAUCGGGAGGAACACCAAUGGCGAAGGCAGCUCGCUGGGACGGUACUGACGCUGAGACGCGAAAAGCGUGGGGAGCAAACAGGG